GUGGGGAAUAUUGGGCAAUGGGCGCAAGCCUGACCCAGCAACGCCGCGUGAAGGAAGAAGGCUUUCGGGUUGUAAACUUCUUUUACCAGGGACGAAACAAAUGACGGUACCUGGUGAAUAAGCCACGGCUAACUACGUGCCAGCAGCCGCGGUAAUACGUAGGUGGCGAGCGUUAUCCGGAUUUAUUGGGUGUAAAGGGUGUGUAGGCGGGACAGCAAGUCAGAUGUGAAAACCAGAGGCUCAACCUCUGGCCUGCAUUUGAAACUGUUGUUCUUGAGUGUCGGAGACGUAAUCGGAAUUCCGUGUGUAGCGGUGAAAUGCGUAGAUAUACGGAGGAACACCAGUGGCGAAGGCGGAUUACUGGACGAUAACUGACGCUGAGGCGCGAAAGCGUGGGGAGCAAACAGGAUUAGAUACCCUUGUAGUCC
rnacentral:rRNA from 1 species